AAUCAACGCUGGCGGCGUGCCUCAGACAUGCAAGUCGAACGAUUAAAGCUCUCUUCGGAGAGUGUAUAGAGUGGCGCACGGGUGAGUAACACGUAAGUAAUCUACCUUUGAGUGGGGAAUAACGUCCGGAAACGGACGCUAAUACCGCAUAAUGCAGCGGCAUCGCAAGAUGACAGUUGUUAAAGAUUUAUCGCUUGAAGAGGAGCUUGCGGCAGAUUAGCUAGUUGGUAAGGUAAUGGCUUACCAAGGCUACGAUCUGUAACCGGUCUAAGAGGACGGUCGGUCACACUGACACUGAAUAACGGGUCAGACUCCUACGGGAGGCAGCAGUCGGGAAUUUUGGGCAAUGGGCGAAAGCCUGACCCAGCAACGCCGCGUGAAGGAUGAAGUAUUUCGGUAUGUAAACUUCGAAAGAAUGGGAAGAAUAAAUGACGGUACCAUUUAUAAGGUCCGGCUAACUACGUGCCAGCAGCCG
rnacentral:rRNA from 1 species